rnacentral:rRNA from 1 species
UACGAAGGGUGCAAGCGUUAUUCGGAAUAAUUGGGCGUAAAGGGUGCGUAGGCGGCACAUUAAGUCAACUGUUAAAUCUCCCGGCCUAACCGGGAAAAUGCGGUAGAUACUGAUGAGCUAGAGGAUGGAAGAGAGAAGUGGAAUUCUCGGAGUAGCGGUAAAAUGCGUAGAUAUCGAGAGGAACACCAAUGGCGAAGGCAGCUUCUUGGUCCAUUUCUGACGCUGAGGCACGAAAGCGUGGGGAGCAAACAGG